AUUCUGCCCAAGCGGAGAAGGAUGAGAAGCUUCGACUAAGGUUCGACUCGAGCGCCAGCGAGAGAGCGUUGCCGCAGGCAACGACCCGAAGGGCGAAGCGCGCAGCGCUGAGUAAUCCUUCCCCCACCACCA
rnacentral:sRNA from 6 species